UACGUAGGGGGCAAGUGUUGUCCGGAUUUAUUGGGCGUAAAGAGCGUGUAGGCGGCCAGACAGGUCCGUUGUGAAAACUGGAGGCUCAACCUCCAGACGUCGAUGGAAACCGUCUGGCUAGAGUCCGGAAGAGGAGAGUGGAAUUCCUGGUGUAGCGGUGAAAUGCGCAGAUAUCAGGAAGAACACCCGUGGCGAAAGCGGCUCUCUGGGACGGUACUGAGCUGAG
rnacentral:rRNA from 1 species